rfam:Christensenella minuta strain DSM 22607 genomic scaffold Scaffold234, whole genome shotgun sequence.
GGGGAUGUACUGGUUUCGACGGGGGCAUUUGUGAGGACAAUAAGCAAGCCGCAGUUGAAUACUCUGCGUUAAAAAGAUUCAACUAAAUAUAAACGCAAAAACAAACAAAACGGCAGAGGUGGGUUCUCCCGCUCUGCUCGCUGCUUAAUUUAAAAUAGCAGCCUUCCGACCUCUCUUUUCCUGUUUGGGAGGGGAUCGGGAGCCAAUUUAAAACGGGCUACUACGCUGCCAAAGCUUUGCGGCGGCGCGGAUUUUAUGAAGCUACCUCUUCUUGGUUUUUGUGGCCGGGGGCCUUGAAGAGGGAAAGAAACAAAGGCCAAUAAGCUUGUAGAAAGUUGUCCGGGCAGGCUUUCGGACAGGGGUUCGACUCCCCUCAUCUCCACCA